rnacentral:rRNA from 1 species
CGCUGGAGUGAAGUACCUCCUUUUCAGUCUGAUCUUGUCUGAUCUCAGAGGCUAAACGGGGCUGGUCCUGGUCAGCACUUGGAUAAGAGACCACAGCAAAUACCAGGAGUCACAGGGGGCGCCAGUGG